UAGCGUAGGGGCAAGCGUUGUCCGGAAUCAUUGGCGUAAAGCGCGUGUAGGCGGUUCGAUAAGUCUGCUGUGAAAGUCCAGGCUCAACCCUGGAAGCCGGUGGAUACUGUCGGACUAGAGUACGGAAGAGGCGAGUGGAAUUCCGGUGUAGCGGUGAAAUGCGCAGAUAUCGGGAGGAACACCAAUUGCGAAGGCAGCUCGCUGGGACGUCACUGACGCUGAGACGCGAAAGCGUGGGAGCAAACAGG
rnacentral:rRNA from 1 species